AUAAAACGGCAAAAGGAAGCUGCGCUCCUGCAAGGAGACGGACCGGAUUUCGGCGGACCAUUCACGCGCAUGUCGCUUGUACGCCUCGCCUCGCCACGCCACGCCACGCCACAGCUCGGCCCGGCCCGGCCAAGCCAGGCCAGGCGAGGCGAGCGAGCGCGCGCGUGUGGUUUUCCCUUUCUCUUCUCACACACCACUUAGAGUGGUGGAGAGAACCCACUAUAUAAAAAGGUCCAACUCUUCUUCAACUUCCAAGGUGGGAUUAAACUUAGCACCACCACUUGCCAUUUUACACAUGGGCUUUGAGAUUUCAGAAAUUGCUAUGGGCCUAGCCCAUUAAUUCUAACAAUCCCCCACCAGAUCUCAAAUACCCAUUUAGAGAUUUGCCUUCUCUCACCACUUGUUUAAUAUACCAGUGUUGCAGCAGAGACUGUUAAGUUGAACUUCUGCCUAGAACUUUAAGCUACAUCCAUUCACAACUUGACAAUGGACUAUGCCUUGAAUUGCUAGUUUUGUGUGAACAGGUUUCACUCAAAGUCUUAACCAGUACCUGACCGCCAGUAGGCUACCCCGCGGUUUGGAGCUUAUACGUCAUACUCCCUGGUCUCUUCGUGAGCUUACUAGAGAUCACCCAAAUCUCAUAGACUGCGACGUUUACAGUCAGAACUCAUAUAGGUGUGUUCUUUCAAGACUGCUCUGUAGGACAGCAUCUUUGCUAAUUAUAGCCAAUAGAACCACAUUAAGGCAUGUUGCCAACCUGCCUUACAGAUCUGAGCCUUACAGCUCUGAGAGUUUUGCAUCUUCACUUGGAGACGAUCAUAAAAUCUUUGUAUGGUCUGAAACAGGCACCUAAGCAAUGGCAUGAGAAGGUGGGACUAAACUUAGCACCACCACUUGCCAUUUUACACAUGGGCUUUGAGAUUUCAGAAAUUGCUAUAGGCCUAGCCCAUUAAUUCUAACACAAAACACACAGAGGCAUAUGAUUAGGUAGAAAAUCUAGUCCAGAGUAUUCCUUUUCAUGCAAGGCUACCGACCUAAUCCAUGACCCAGAAAGUCAGAGCUAAAUGUAUUUGUACACAUACAUAAGCAAUAGAUACAAAAGGAUGAGCAGAUUUACCAAAGAAACUAUAGGUAGUGUAGUAAGGAUGGAGGAAUCUGAAACCAUCGAUGACACGAAAGCUGAAAGCGCAUAUCCAAUCAUAUGCAUACUGCAAGUCAAAAGUAAAAAUUGAUCCAUUAGUUGGACAGCCAGGUGUACCUCAACUGCAGGCGAACCGAGGGAAAAUAAAGCCGAGUCAAGGAAAUUCGUUCUGGCUUG
rnacentral:lncRNA from 1 species